rnacentral:lncRNA from 1 species
CAGCAAUAGCUUUAAAAACUGUUUCAUCUUCUUCCCAACUCUUCACGCCAAAACCCCCUCCCCUUUUAACUUCGAUUUGGACAAAGCGAAGAAAACUAUGCUGACGGCGCGCCUCUGCUGGUAAGAAUCUCCUCCCUUUCUUUUACUUUUCGUUUUAUUUUAAAAAAAAUGAAGUAAAAUACAAAAGAAAAAGAUGAGACAAAAAAACAGAAAAAAGUAAAAAGACGUGGAAAGAACAAAAAUCACCUUCCAAAAUUUGUUUUUUUUCUAAUUCUUUUCUUUCGUAUUUCAGUAUUUUUCAAUAUAUGUGUGUAACCCCCCCCUUCUUACAAAAAUCGAUUGACUUUUAUAGCCAAUAUUUACCGGAAAGCACCAACUAAAAUUUCCCCCCUUUUUUUUGCUGUAUAUUCGAUCCCAUAAUGCUGUUUAUGGUUUGUUGCAGGUGAAGAAUGUGCAUGGUGGGUGUGGGGAAUUGCUGAACGUGGGUGGAAACCGUUGCCGUGUCGUGGGCAGUUGCUGCGGCACCGAUUUGCUUCAAUCUGCUUAGGCUGUGUUCUUUUGGGCUAACAGGCUAGGGCUAGCAAUUUGGGCCUUAUUAGGCCGAAUUUGGGCUGUAAUAUGGACUCCCACUUAGUUUUAUUUCAAAUUGGGUUUUAAUGGGCCGGACAAAAUUGGGUAUUACAAACAUAUUAUAUAAAAUACAUUGUGAAUUAAAGCAUAAUAUGAACGUGAUAUCAAAAUAUUAAUUUUUUUAAAAAAAUUUGAUGAUACGAAUAAUUAUGUAAAAUAUAACAUGAUACAAAAUAACUUGAGAGGAAAAGAGGAAUAAAGAAUUGCAUUGUUUGU